rnacentral:tRNA from 1 species
GGGUGCGUAGCUCAGUUGGUUAGAGCGCAACACUGAUAAUGUUGAGGUCCCAAGUUCAACUCUUGGCGCACCCACGA